GACGAACGCUGGCGGCGUGCUUAACACAUGCAAGUCGAACGGAAAGGCCUUGUCGGAGGUACUCGAGUGGCGAACGGGUGAGUAACACGUGGGUGAGCUGCCCUGCACUCUGGGAGAAGCCUGGGAAACUGGGUCGAAUACCGGAUAGGACGGCACUCUAGUGGGAGGGGUGGAAAGGUUUUGCGGUGGAGGAUGAGGCCGCGGCCUAGGAGCUUGUUGGUGGGGGAAUGGCCUAACAAGGCGGCGACGGGUAGCCGGACUGAGAGGUUGGUCGGGCAACUUGGGGAUGAAGUUCGGCCCAGACCCCUACGGGAGGCAGCCGUUGGGAAUAUUGCCCCAUGGGCCCGAGCCUGAUGCCGCCACGCCGCGUGGCGGAUGAAGGCCUUCCGGUUGUAAACUCCUUUCGCCCGGGACGAAGCGUUUUGUGACGGUACCUGGUGAAGAAGCACCGGCUAACUACGUG
rnacentral:rRNA from 1 species